AUACUUACCUGGCGGGGAGAUACAAUGAUCACAAGUGGUACCCAGGGCGAGGCUCGGCCAUUGCACUUCGUCAUUGUGACCCCUGCGAAUUCCCCAAUGUUUCGCGGAACUCGACCGCCUAAGUUCUGUUAGUGGGGACCUGCGUUCGCCCGCUCGCCCGGU